AGGCUGCUUCUAAGGAAAAUAAUGAACCACCUACUCAAGCAGAAAUAUUUGUUGAGACUCGCCAAAGCACAAAGGGAAAAUCAUUGGAUGAAGACACUCUGGAUGUUAUUCUGAGAAUAAAAAGUCUAAAGAAUCAGCAAUUAGAGCUUUCAAAUCCAUAUUUGGGAAAGAGAAGGCAGGGAGAGUGCGAUGUCACGGAAGAGUUACCACACCUACUUUGUUGAAGAAAAAUGAAGAAAUUGCCACCCUUAAGCAGCAACAUGCAACUGAGAAAACAACAUUAGAGAAUAAGGUUGAUGUGAUGCAAAAAGAAGUAGAUGAACUAAAAUCGCUUGUUAAGAUGAUGCUGCAACAAAAAAGCUCAGGAGUGGACCUUGACAUGUUAGCUGCUCAAUUAGGAAGCACUUUAGGCAAUUCGAACAAUGAUGCGCAUGAAGAGGUAUUAUUUGUUGUUAAAGUUUCUAUAUGUUAUCAUAUCUUAAAUAAUGGUUGAUUAUGAUGAUGUUGAUUCAAUUGUUUUGUGUAUCUAAAUAGAAGAAUGUUAUGAUA